UACAGAGGGUGCAAGCGUUGUCCGGAUUUAUUGGGUUUAAAGGGUGCGUAGGCGGUUCUAUAAGUCAGUGGUGAAAUACGGCAGCUCAACUGUCGAGGUGCCAUUGAUACUGCAGAACUUGAGUACAGACGAGGUAGGCGGAAUUGACGGUGUAGCGGUGAAAUGCUUAGAUAUCGUCAAGAACACCGAUAGCGAAGGCAGCUUACUAGACUGUAACUGACGCUGAGGCACGAAAGUGUGGGGAUCAAACAGG
rnacentral:rRNA from 1 species